CUGCAGCCCGAGUGGUGAUCGAUUUUAUUGAGCCUAAAGCGUCCGUAGCCGGACUAGUAAACCCUUGGGUAAAUUGGGCAGCUUAACUGUCCAAAUUCCGAGGUGACUGCUAGUCUUGGGACCGGGAGAGGUCAGAGGUACUCAAGGGGUAGGGGCUAAAUCCUGUAAUCCUUUGGGGACCACCAGUGGCGAAGGCGUCUGACUAGAACGGAUCCGACGGUAAGGGACGAAACCCUGGGGCGCGAACCGGAUUAGAUACCCGAGUAGUCC
rnacentral:rRNA from 1 species